rnacentral:rRNA from 1 species
GAUAACGCUGGCGGCGUGCCUAACACAUGCAAGUCGAACGGAGAUUUAACGCUGAUGAAGCUUCGGCAGAUUCUUGUUAAAUCUUAGUGGCGGACGGGUGAGUAACGCGUGGGCAACCUGCCUCAUACUGGGGGAUAACAGCUGGAAACGACUGUUAAUACCGCAUAAGCGCACGGUAUCGCAUGAUACAGUGUGAAAAACUCCGGUGGUAUGAGAUGGGCCCGCGUCAGAUUAGCCAGUUGGCAGGGUAACGGCCUACCAAAGCGACGAUCUGUAGCCGGCCUGAGAGGGCGGACGGCCACAUUGGGACUGAGACACGGCCCAAACUCCUACGGGAGGCAGCAGUGGGGGAUAUUGCACAAUGGAGGAAACUCUGAUGCAGCGACGCCGCGUGAGUGAAGAAGUAUUUCGGUAUGUAAAGCUCUAUCAGCAGGGAAGAAAGAACUCGUAAGAGAGAUGACGGAAC